rnacentral:rRNA from 1 species
UACGUAGGCAGCGAGCGUUGUUCGGAAUUACUGGGCGUAAAGAGUGUGUAGGCGGUGCUCUAAGUUCGGUGUGAAAUCUCCUGGCUUAACUGGGAGGGUGCGCCGGAAACUGGAGUGCUCGAGCGUGGGAGAGGAAAGCGGAAUUCCUGGUGUAGCGGUGAAAUGCUUAGAUAUCAGGAGGAACACCUGCGGUGUAGACGGCUUUCUGGACCAUUGCUGACGCUGAGACACGAAAGCGUGGGUAGCAAACAGG